ensembl:lncRNA
CCUCUGGAAUGAAUUUAUGCACUCAGUCAUUUGACAAAUACAAACUGCUUCCCAGGGGCACAAUUUCUAACAUGACAGGGAGUAAACCAAGGGCAGGGUAGGCUAGGUUGGGAGGUGGAAGAUGCAAGUAUGUACCAAAGCCUCCAUUUUUAAAUUACUUUCUCUUAGUGUCUCCCAGAGCCACCCUUUCAUGAUGCUUUCUUCAGAGUCUUCACAGCCAUUGUAUCAACACUAUACUUUUAAAAAUUUGUUGGAUAGGUGCCAAUUUUGGAAGACACAGUCAAAGGCAGCAACUACUUUCCCUUCUGCUCUUGUCAGCAGGGCUGACCACUAUGGGCAGACAGAUCUGAAUGAGAGAGCUAGAGAAGCCAGGCCUCACACAUGCAGUGACCCAUCCAGCUAUCUACCAGUUAGAAGGACGUUUUUGUAAAGUGACUCUUCAGAUUCUCACAUGCCUGUGGUGUCAGAGGCUCAACAAGACAUCAAAAACGUUUCACAAAGAAACAGAAAGAUUUCUUCCUGAAAAUAUGGACAAAAAUCAAAGCUUUGAAACUCAGAUUACAUUUUAGAUAUACUGUCUUUUUUUAAAUUAAUUAAGCAACUCAUUGGUAAAUACUUUUGGUAAAAUGUUUUUGCUUUUUUUAAUGGAACGUUAUUUCCAUAUUUCUUGCUUUUUUAGUGCAAACCUUUGAAUAUUCAGCUUUAUUAAAUCAAGUCAUAUCUCUCCUGGAUAAUAUGUUAUGUGCGAUAGAUUUCAUUCAGGAUUGGGUGGUUAAGUUGCAAUGAUUUUAAAUCAAGUCUCCACCUCAGGAACCCAGGAAUGUUAGAUAGG